rnacentral:lncRNA from 1 species
UGGUGCUGUCAUUCAGCCUGAGGAAGAGAGUCCAAAUGUUAUUAUUGAUGGUAUAGGUCUCACUCUGCUGGUAUUGAUGGAUGGUAUAGGUCUCACUCUGCUGGUAUUGAUGGAUGGUAUAGGUCUCACUCUCUGCUGGUAUUGAUGGCUGGUAUAGGUCUCACACUCUGCUGGUAUUGAUGGAUGGUAUAGGUCUCACUCUGCUGGUAUUGAUGGAUGGUAUAGGUCUCACUCUGCUGGUAUUGAUGGAUGGUAUAGGUCACACUCUGCUGGUAUUGAUGGUUGGUAUAGGUCUCACUCUGCUGGUAUUGAUGGAUGGUAUAGGUCUCACUCUGCUGGUAUUGAUGGAUGGUAUAGGUCUCACACUCUGCUGGUAUUGAUGGAUGGUAAAGGUCUCACACUCUGCUGGUAUUGAUGGAUGGUAUAGGUCUCACACUCUGCUGGUAUUGAUGGAUGGUAAAGGUCUCACACUCUGCUGGUAUUGAUGGAUGGUAUAG